UACUAAAUUCAUAUAGUCUGGGGCCCCUCCUCUGUGUUUUAAGAUAUUCGUCUGCCAGGAGACUACAAUUCCUUGCAGAGGCAGACAAACAACCUCCUCCCUGCUAUAGAAGUCAUCUCAUUCCUAAAGAAGCAACACAAACCAUUCUCUCCACUGAUAUCGUUUUAGCACAGACAACUUACUGCAGCACAGCAGAGCAUACAAGGAACUAUAAAAAAAUCUUCUGAGGAUGCAGCGGAUGCAACGUUCCAUCCAGUCUACAUAAAUUUAACUUUCAAAUAUGUCCUAA